rnacentral:rRNA from 1 species
GACGAACGCUGGCGGCGUGCUUAACACAUGCAAGUCGAACGGAAAGGCCCCUAUCUUGGUGGUGGUGCUCGAGUGGCGAACGGGUGAGUAACAAGUGGGUGAUAUGCCCUGUACUUCGGGUUAAGCAUGGCAUAAUGGGGUUACUACUGGAUAGGAUUAUGGUUUAGUGUCUCAUUGUGGCAAGAUUAUUGUUUUGGUGGAGGAUGAGUUCGCUGCCUACCUGCUUGUUGGUGGGGUGAUGGCCUACCUAGGCGUCGGCGGGUGGCCGGCCUGCGGGGGUGGACGGCAACAUUGAGGAUGAGAGACCGCGCAGACUCCGACGGGAGGCAGCAGGGGGGAAUAUUGCACAAGGGGAGCAAGCAUGAUGCAGCGACGCGGCGUGGGUGAUGACGUCCUGCGUGUGGUAAACUCUUUUCGUUAGGGACGAAGCCACGCUUUUGGGGUGUGGUUACGGUACCUUUGAUAAGAAGCGCCGGCUAACUACGUG